UGGGGAAUUUUGGACAAUGGGGGAAACCCUGAUCAAGCCAUCCCGCGUGUGCGAUGAAGGCCUUCGGGUUGUAAAGCACUUUUGGCAGGAAAGAAACGACAUGGGUUAAUAUCCCGUGAAACUGACGGUACCUGCAGAAUAAGCACCGGCUAACUACGUGCCAGCAGCCGCGGUAAUACGUAGGGUGCAAGCGUUAAUCGGAAUUACUGGGCGUAAAGCGUGCGCAGGCGGUUCGGAAAGAAAGAUGUGAAAUCCCAGAGCUCAACUUUGGAACUGCAUUUUUAACUGCCGGGCUAGAGUGUGUCAGAGGGAGGUGGAAUUCCGCGUGUAGCAGUGAAAUGCGUAGAUAUGCGGAGGAACACCGAUGGCGAAGGCAGCCUCCUGGGAUAACACUGACGCUCAUGCACGAAAGCGUGUGGAGCAAACAGG
rnacentral:rRNA from 1 species